rnacentral:rRNA from 1 species
AACGAACGCUGGCGGCAGGCUUAACACAUGCAAGUCGAGCGCCCCGCAAGGGGAGCGGCAGACGGGUGAGUAACGCGUGGGAAUCUACCCAUCUCUACGGAAUAACGCAUGGAAACGUGUGCUAAUACCGUAUACGUCCUUCGGGAGAAAGAUUUAUCGGAGAUGGAUGAGCCCGCGUUGGAUUAGCCAGUUGGUGGGGUAAAGGCCUACCAAGGCGACGAUCCAUAGCUGGUCUGAGAGGAUGAUCAGCCACACUGGGACUGAGACACGGCCCAGACUCCUACGGGAGGCUGCAGUUGGGAAUAUUGGACAAUGGGCGCAAGCCUUAUCCAGCCAUGCCGCGUGAGUGAUGAAGGCCCUAGGGUUGUAAAGCUCUUUCACCGGUGAAGAUAAUGACGGUAACCGGAGAAGAAGCCCCGGCUAACUUCGUGCCAGCCGCCGCCGCAGUAA